AGGUAAAAUUUUGGAAGCCCCUUUUAAUGCUGCCUGCUGUUCAUAGGGCCCCCAGGUCAUUGCCCCACAUAGUGACAUCAUCUCAUUAGUUUUGCAGAAAGACUUCCCUGAGGAACCAUCAUCUCCGGUAAAGGGAUUUUAAAUGACUAAUAAUCCAAGGCAAAGACAAACAGGAAGAGGAAGCAGGUAGGCCAGGAGAUUGGGGACCUCAUCUUAGCACCACAAUAGGAGUCCUCUUUAGGAAGAAGUGACAUUACAAAAGGCCGAAGAGAGAAAAACUGGAAAUAGAGGGGCUCACUCGAGUGGACCCUCUCACAGUGUGAAGAUCUGUCCUGAAAGUACUCAAUGUUUUCAUCUUUGGGCAGAAAAGCAGCUGAAAUCAUUUCUAGGAUUCCACCUCUCCAGGUAUCAUGAUGAUUAAGUAAAGUGUCGUUGUCUGUACAUAUCAACAAAGAGAAAGACAUUUUCCUUCUUGCUUUAAUUUUUAAUUCUUGGGGCUCUCAAGCUUAAGUCAUUCCUAAUUUAGAGCUUGGUGGUUCCCAUAGAUGAAGAUCACUUAAAUAUGAACACAUGUGAUCAUGAGUGAAUGUCAGCUAAAACAAUGAACAAAGAUCUAGAUUUUUCAAAGACUUCAGUUAUUAAAUUGGACACAAUGAGAAAGUGGAUUUCUGCAAGCCAGGAGUAGUGUUCUCACCAAAAACCGACCACACUGGCACCCUGACCAGUCUUCCAGGCUCCAGAAUUAGGAGUCCCGAGUGAAUGCGUGGUUUGUCACAUAGAAGGCAGGAAAAUGUCCACUGAAGCCCUGCAGGGCACCUGGCGUCCACUGGUCCAGGGCAAAGGCGUAUUAUUGUUCUUCAGCACGCGUGCGUCAGUGGGAACGGCCCCUUCUAAGGGAAACAGUGUGUGACUGGAGAAAUCUCUCAAAGGUGCUGGUGCCUGAGUUUCCCUGGCUGGACAUCCUGGAUACUGAUGACUACGUCAGGCACUCCUUGGAUUAAGAAUUCAGCCUAUCAUGUUAAGAUCUAGAGAAUUCAGCAUAUCAUGUUAACUCCGAAAGGACACUGAAUUACAGCAGCCAUCCAUGAUGAUGAGAACCAAAUAUGCAUCAUAAAGACAAAAGAGACCUGUUUUCAAGAAGAUGAGAAGGAGACUUGACAGGACUUUAUUGGUUCAUAAAUUAACUUGGUAGAUUUACAAUCAUUACUUGGAAUGCCAGGAACUCUUUUUAGGAACUAAUUUUCAAGAGGGAAGAAAACACGUUUAAGUCAGAAUAUGAAAUUGACACCUCAAGCUGCCCAGAAAAAGUCAAAGAGUAACAUGCAGCAGUUCAACAAACAGCUCCAGGCAAUUCCACGCGAGAUGAUCGAAUGGCUGGGGCUGAGGGGACAUGCCGGGCGGCUGCAGACG